rnacentral:rRNA from 1 species
CGAGCACGCGCGUGUGGCAUAUCAAUAAGCGGAGGAAAAGAAGCUAACAAGGAUUCCCUUAGUAACGGCGAGUGAAGCGGGAAGAGCUCAAAUUUGAAAUCUUCAAGGUUCUACCUUGACGAAUUGUAGUUUAUAGAAGUGUUUUCUGUUAGUGGAGUGGCAAAAGUUCUUUGGAAUAGGGACAUCAUAGAGGGUGAGAAUCCCGUAUUUGGUCAUUCCUCCUAGCGUUGUGAUACACUUUCAACGAGUCGGAUUGUUUGGGAAUGCAGUCCAAAAUGGGUGGUAAAUUUCAUCUAAAGCUAAAUAUUGGCGAGAGACCGAUAGCGAACAAGUACCGUGAGGGAAAGAUGAAAAGAACUUUGAAAAGAGAGUUAAACAGUACGUGAAAUUGUCAAAAGGGAAGCGUUUGACACCAGUGUUAUUUUUCCGAAAAUCAAUUACGAAUGUUUUAUUUUUGAGGAGUUAUGACUUCAUCGGCUUGCUUCUCUUCUUUACGAAACUUUCUUAAUGCACUUUUCGGUUAACAAGUCAACAUCCAAUUUCUUUUGUUGUAAAAGGGUAUGAGGAAGGUGGCUUUCUUUUCGGAGAAAGUGUUUAUAGCCUUGUACCUCUGCAAUCGGAGAGAUUGAGGUCUGCAGCGUAGAUCCUUCGGGGUUAGAUACGUUUGUGCUAAGUUAUAGCUUUUCAUAGACAACUUGUUGACUAUGUUUAGUCUUGUAGCUUACUCGCUGACGCUAUUUUACCUACGCUUAGGAUGUUGAGUAGCGACAUACGCAC